UGAAUAGGUUCGGGAGACUGUUUACCAGUCUUCGUAAAGUCGUAAGACUAUGCAUGGGGACUAACGCUUGUCUAAUGUUGGAAGGUCAGGAUAGUUGGUGACCUAAUGAUAGGAGAGCCGGUGAUCAAAGCCCCUAUAAAUGGCGGCCGUAACUAUAACAGUCGUAAGAUAAUAAAAUUUCUUAUUAGGUAAGUUCUGACCCGCACGAAAGGCGUAACGAUUUGGGA
rnacentral:ncRNA from 1 species